GCACGGCUCAGUAAGGUGUUCAGGCGUUUGGUCGAUGCCCGGGCUCGCAGGCUGGCGGCGUGCAGCUCGUUGAUCGUGCG
rnacentral:tRNA from 1 species